rnacentral:tRNA from 1 species
UCUCUGGUGGUCUAGUGGCUAAGACUCGGUGCUUGCAAUGCAGGGAAUCCAGGUUCGAUCCCUGGUCAGGGAA